AGUGAUUUAACUUUACCUACAUGGCGACCUUCUCUGGAUAUGUAUCUGUUUCCUUCUCUUUCCCACAGGAAUUCUGCCAGGAGCAUUAUCUGAGAGCUUAUAAAAUAUUUCAUCUGUCAUGUUGGCGAACAAAGAAGAGACCACAGCACUGAAGAUUACCUUUCAGAAAAGAGUGAAGGGAAGCUACAGAGAGUUGUGGCAAGUAUGCUGGAACUUUAGAUUGUGUUUUAAAUAAUCAAUUCUUUCACAAGAAAUUUUGGGCCAUCAGAUAAUGAGUCAUUGAAAUAAUCUAUUUCGUACCUCUCAUCCUUACCCUGAAUACUUUUCUGUUUUUCUUCUAGUGAGAGCCUAUUUACCUCCCAAUGUCCUUCCACCUAUGAGUAGCUUCAUGAUGACUAGAUUGGUUCCCCUAACUACAGUGUCCCUGGCACUGUGUGUGUGUGUGUAUGUGUGUGUGUAUUCAAAGCUCUUUACCACAGGUAUGAGCAGU
rnacentral:lncRNA from 1 species